GAUGAACGCUGGCGGCGUGCCUAAUACAUGCAAGUCGAGCGAACGGACGAGAAGCUUGCUUCUCUGAUGUUAGCGGGGGACGGGUGAGUAACACGUGGAUAACCUACCUAUAAGACUGGGAUAACUUCGGGAAACCGGAGCUAAUACCGGAUGAUAUUUUGAACCGCAUGGUUCAAAAGUGAAAGACGGUCUUGCUGUCACUUAUAGAUGGAUCCGCGCUGCAUUAGCUAGUUGGUAAGGUAACGGCUUACCAAGGCAACGAUGCAUAGCCGACCUGAGAGGGUGAUCGGCCACACUGGAACUGAGACACGGUCCAGACUCCUACGGGAGGCAGCAGUAGGGAAUCUUCCGCAAUGGGCGAAAGCCUGACGGAGCAACGCCGCGUGAGUGAUGAAGGUCUUCGGAUCGUAAAACUCUGUUAUUAGGGAAGAACAUAUGUGUAAGUAACUGUGCACAUCUUGACGGUACCUAAUCAGAAAGCCACGGCUAACUACGUG
rnacentral:rRNA from 1 species